UACGAAGGGGGCUAGCGUUGCUCGGAAUUACUGGGCGUAAAGUGUGCGCAGGCGGCCGCGCAAGUCGAGUGUGAAAUCCCCGGGCUUAACUUGGGAAUUGCGCUCGAAACUACGUGGCUGGAGUGUGGCAGAGGAAGGUGGAAUUCCACGUGUAGCGGUGAAAUGCGUAGAGAUGUGGAGGAACACCAAUGGCGAAGGCAGCCUUCUGGGCCAACACUGACGCUCAUGCACGAAAGCGUGGGGAGCAAACAGG
rnacentral:rRNA from 1 species